AUUGAACGCUGGCGGCAUGCCUAACACAUGCAAGUCGAGCGGACGAACGGAGCUUGUUCCUGGCUUCAGCGGCGGACGGGCGGGUAAUGCCUAGGAAUCUGCCCUGCCGAUAGGGCUAACGUACGUUAGCGGGCCCUAAUAUCGCACCCGUUCAGAGGUAGAACGGCGUGGAUCUUCGGAGCACACGCUAUCAGCUGACACUUGGUCGGAUUAGCUAGUUGGUGGGGUAAAGGCUUACCAAGGCGACGAUCCGUAACUGGUCUGAGAGGCUGAUCAGUCACACUGGAACUGAGACACGGUCCAGACUCCUACGGGAGGCAGCAGUAGGGAAUAUUGGACAAUGGGCGAAAGCCUGAUCGAGCAACGCCGCGUGAGUGAAGAAGGUCUUCGGAUUGUAAAGCUCUUUUAGUAGGGAAGAAGGACAGUAUAAGUAACCCUGCCUGUUUUGACGGUACCUACAGAGUAAGCCCCGGCUAACUUCGUG
rnacentral:rRNA from 1 species